UGGGGAAUUUUGGACAAUGGGCGAAAGCCUGAUCCAGCAAUGCCGCGUGUGUGAAGAAGGCCUUCGGGUUGUAAAGCACUUUUGUCCGGAAAGAAAUCCUUGGCUCUAAUACAGUCGGGGGAUGACGGUACCGGAAGAAUAAGCACCGGCUAACUACGUGCCAGCAGCCGCGGUAAUACGUAGGGUGCAAGCGUUAAUCGGAAUUACUGGGCGUAAAGCGUGCGCAGGCGGUUUACUAAGACCGAUGUGAAAUCCCCGGGCUCAACCUGGGAACUGCAUUGGUGACUGGCAGGCUAGAGUAUGGCAGAGGGGGGUAGAAUUCCACGUGUAGCAGUGAAAUGCGUAGAGAUGUGGAGGAAUACCGAUGGCGAAGGCAGCCCCCUGGGCCAAUACUGACGCUCAUGCACGAAAGCGUGGGGAGCAAACAGGAUUAGAUACCCUGGUAGUCCACGCCCUAAACGAUGUCAACUAGUUGUUGGGGAUUCAUUUCCUUAGUAACGUAGCUAACGCGUGAAGUUGACCGCCUGGGGAGUACGGUCGCAAGAUUAAAACUUAAAUGAAUUGACGGGGUCAUAGCUGUUUCCU
rnacentral:rRNA from 1 species